rnacentral:rRNA from 1 species
AGAGAGAGACAUGCGUGCAUAUCAAUAAGCGGAGGAAAAGAAACUAACAAGGAUUCCCUUAGUAACGGCGAGUGAAGCGGGAAGAGCUCAAAUUUGAAAUCUUCAAGGUUUUACCUUGACGAAUUGUAGUCUAAAGAAGUGUUUUCUGCUGAAGUUUUGGUAAAAGUUCCUUGGAAUAGGACAUCAUAGAGGGUGAGAAUCCCGUAUUUGACCAUUAUUUUCAGCUUUGUGAUACACUUUCAAAGAGUCGGAUUGUUUGGGAAUGCAGUCCAAAAUGGGUGGUAAAUUUCAUCUAAAGCUAAAUAUUGGCGAGAGACCGAUAGCGAACAAGUACCGUGAGGGAAAGAUGAAAAGAACUUUGAAAAGAGAGUUAAACAGUACGUGAAAUUGUCAAAAGGGAAGCGUUUGACACCAGUGUUGUUUUCUCGAAAAUCAAUUAAAAAUGGCUCGAUUUUGUAUUGCUUGAGACCUUAAAAGCUCACUGUACAUUUUUCGUGUCUUUUUUAAUGCACUUUUCGUUUAACAAGUCAACAUCAGUUUCUUUUGUUGUAAAAGGGUCAUUGGAAGGUGGCUUUCUUUUCGGAGAAAGUGUUUAUAGCCUUUGGCCUCUGCAAUCGGGAGAGACUGAGGUCUGCAGCGUAGACUCUUCGGGGUUAGAUACAUUUGUGCUAAGUUAUAGCUUUUUAUAGACAACUUGUUGACUAUAAUUAGUCUUGUAGCUUACUCGCUUAUGCUAUUUUACCUACGCUUAGGAUGUUGAAGUCAUCGUAUCGCGC